rnacentral:rRNA from 1 species
UACGUAGGGGGCAAGCGUUGUCCGGAUUUAUUGGGCGUAAAGAGCGUGUAGGCGGCCAGGUAGGUCUGCUGUGAAAACUCGAGGCUCAACCUCGAGACGUCGGCGGAAACCAUCUGGCUAGAGUCCGGAAGAGGAGAGUGGAAUUCCUGGUGUAGCGGUGAAAUGCGCAGAUAUCAGGAAGAACACCUGUGGCGAAGGCGGCUCUCUGGGACGGUACUGACGCUGAGACGCGAAAGCGUGGGGAGCGAACAGG